CAGUCGAGCGAAUCGAUGGGAGCUUGCUCCCUGAGAUUAGCGGCGGACGGGUGAGUAACACGUGGGCAACCUGCCUAUAAGACUGGGAUAACUUCGGGAAACCGGAGCUAAUACCGGAUACGUUCUUUUCUCGCAUGAGAGAAGAUGGAAAGACGGUUUACGCUGUCACUUAUAGAUGGGCCCGCGGCGCAUUAGCUAGUUGGUGAGGUAAUGGCUCACCAAGGCGACGAUGCGUAGCCGACCUGAGAGGGUGAUCGGCCACACUGGGACUGAGACACGGCCCAGACUCCUACGGGAGGCAGCAGUAGGGAAUCUUCCGCAAUGGACGAAAGUCUGACGGAGCAACGCCGCGUGAACGAAGAAGGCCUUCGGGUCGUAAAGUUCUGUUGUUAGGGAAGAACAAGUACCAGAGUAACUGCUGGUACCUUGACGGUACCUAACCAGAAAGCCACGGCUAACUACGUGCCAGCAGCCGCGGUAAUACGUAGGUGGCAAGCGUUGUCCGGAAUUAUUGGGCGUAAAGCGCGCGCAGGUGGUUCCUUAAGUCUGAUGUGAAAGCCCACGGCUCAACCGUGGAGGGUCAUUGGAAACUGGGGAACUUGAGUGCAGAAGAGGAAAGUGGAAUUCCAAGUGUAGCGGUGAAAUGCGUAGAGAUUUGGAGGAACAC
rnacentral:rRNA from 1 species